AAUAGAUACCCCGGUAGUCCACGCCGUAAACGAUGAGUGCUAAGUGUUAGAGGGUUUCCGCCCUUUAGUGCUGCAGCUAACGCAUUAAGCACUCCGCCUGGGGAGUACGGUCGCAAGACUGAAACUCAAAGGAAUUGACGGGGGCCCGCACAAGCGGUGGAGCAUGUGGUUUAAUUCGGAAGCAACGCGAAGAACCUUACCAGGUCUUGACAUCCUCUGACAACUCUAGAGAUAGAGCGUUCCCCUUCGGGGGACAGAGUGACAGGUGGUGCAUGGUUGUCGUCAGCUCGUGUCGUGAGAUGUUGGGUUAAGUCCCGCAACGAGCGCAACCCUUGAUCUUAGUUGCCAGCAUUCAGUUGGGCACUCUAAGGUGACUGCCGGUGACAAACCGGAGGAAGGUGGGGAUGACGUCAAAUCAUCAUGCCCCUUAUGACCUGGGCUACACACGUGCUACAAUGGAUGGUACAAAGGGCUGCAAGACCGCGAGGUCAAGCCAAUCCCAUAAAACCAUUCUCAGUUCGGAUUGU
rnacentral:rRNA from 1 species